ACAGAGGGUGCGAGCGUUAAUCGGAAUUACUGGGCGUAAAGCGCGCGUAGGUGGCUAUGCAAGUCGGAUGUGAAAUCCCCGGGCUCAACCUGGGAACUGCAUUCGAGACUGCAUUGCUCGAGUAUGGGAGAGGGAAGUGGAAUUUCCGGUGUAGCGGUGAAAUGCGUAGAUAUCGGAAGGAACAUCAGUGGCGAAAGCGACUUCCUGGACCAAUACUGACACUCAAGUGCGAAAGCGUGGGGAGCAAACAGGAUUAGAUACCCUGGUAGUCCACGCCAUAAACGAUGAGAACUAGAUGUCGGGAGGGUCUGCCUCUCGGUGUCGCAGCUAACGCGUUAAGUUCUCCGCCUGGGGAGUACGGCCGCAAGGUUG
rnacentral:rRNA from 1 species